UAUCAUUUUCAACUUGCUCA
rnacentral:siRNA from 1 species